rnacentral:rRNA from 1 species
AGAGUUUGAUCCUGGCUCAGAACGAACGCUGGCGGCGUGCUUAACACAUGCAAGUCGAACGCGAAAGGGACUUCGGUCCUGAGUAGAGUGGCGCACGGGUGAGUAACGCGUAAGUGAUCUACCCCUGUAUUUGGGAUAACUAUGGGAAACUGUAGCUAAUACCGGAUACGUUCAUGUAGUUGCGAUUAUAUGAAGAAAGAUGGCCUCUGAUUCAGGCUAUUGUACAGGGAGGAGCUUGCGUACCAUUAGCUAGUUGGUAGGGUAAUGGCCUACCAAGGCAACGAUGGUUAGCGGGUCUGAGAGGAUGAUCAGCCACACUGGGACUGAGACACGGCCCAAACUCCUACGGGAGGCAGCAGUAGGGAAUCUUCCGCAAUGGACGAAAGUCUGACAGAGCAACGCCGCGUGAGUGAAGAAGGUUUUCGGAUCGUAAAACUCUGUUGUCAGAGAAGAACAAGUCGGAGAGUAACUGCUCCGGCCUUGACGGUAUCUGACCAGAAAGCCACGGCUAACUACGUGCCAGCAGCCGCGGUAAUACGUAGGUGGCAAGCGUUGUCCGGAUUUAUUGGGCGUAAAGCGAGCGCAGGCGGUUCCUUAAGUCUGAUGUGAAAGCCCACGGCUCAACCGUGGAAGGUCAUUGGAAACUGGGGAACUUGAGUGCAGAAGAGGAGAGUGGAAUUCCAUGUGUAGCGGUGAAAUGCGUAGAUAUGUGGAGGAAUACCGAUGGCGAAGGCAGCCCCCUGGGAUAACACUGACGCUCAUGCACGAAAGCGUGGGGAGCAAACAGGAUUAGAUACCCUGGUAGUCC